GGCUCAGGACGAACGCUGGCGGCGCGCCUAAUACAUGCAAGUCGAGCGAGAAGACGUAGCAAUACGUUUGUAAAGCGGCGAACGGGUGAGGAAUACAUGGGUAACCUACCCUCGAGUGGGGAAUAACUAGCCGAAAGGUUAGCUAAUACCGCAUACGGCUCCUGGUCUGCGGAUCGGGAGAGAAAGCGAUACCAUGGGUAUCGCGCUCUUGGAUGGGCUCAUGUCCUAUCAGCUUGUUGGUGAGGUAAUGGCUCACCAAGGCUUCGACGGGUAGCUGGUCUGAGAGGACGAUCAGCCACACUGGCACUGCGACACGGGCCAGACUCCUACGGGAGGCAGCAGUAAGGAAUAUUGCGCAAUGGGCGACAGCCUGACGCAGCGACGCCGCGUGGGGGAUGAAGGUCUUCGGAUUGUAAACCCCUUUCGGCAGGGAAGAUGGAACGGGUAACCGUUCGGACGGUACCUGCAGAAGCAGCCACGGCUAACUUCGUGCCAGCAGCCGCGGUAAUACGAAGGUGGCAAGCGUUGUUCGGAUUUACUGGGCGUACAGGGAGCGUAGGCGGUUUGGUAAGCCCUCUGUGAAAUCUCCAGGCUUAACCUGGAAAAGUCGGAGGGGACUGCUGGGCUAGAGGACGGGAGGGGAGCGCGGAAUUCCCGGUGUAGCGGUGAAAUGCGUAGAGA
rnacentral:rRNA from 1 species